rnacentral:lncRNA from 1 species
AUUUGCCCCAAAAUCUCCUAAAUCCGACCCCAAAAUCCCCGGAAUUUCACCCCAAAAUGUCCCAAAAUCCCCAGAAUUUGACCCAAAAUCCCCAAAAUUGAACCCAAAAUGUCUCAAAAUUUCACCCCAAAAUGUCCCAAAAUCCCCAGAAUUUGCCCCAAAAUGACCCAAAAUCCCCUGAAUUUGCCCCAAAAUCUCCCAAAUUUGACCCAAAAUCCCCAAAUUUGCCCCAAAAUCUCCCAAAUUUGACCCAAAAUCCCUGAAAUUUCACCCCAAAAUGACCCAAAAAUCCCCAAAUUUGAACCCAAAAUCCCCAAAAUUUCACCCCAAAAUCCCCAAAAUCCCCAGAAUUUCACCCAAAAUGUCCCCAAAUCCCCCAAAAUCUCCCAAAAUUUCACCCCAAAAUGUCCCAAAUUCCCCUGAAUUUCACCCAAAAUGACCCAAAAUCCCCAAAAAUGUCCCAAAAUUUCACCCCAAAAUUACCCAAAAAUCCCUGAAAUUUCACCCAAAAAGUCCCAAAAUCCCCAAAAUUUCACCCCAAAAUGACCCAAAAUCCCCAGAAUUUGUCCCAAAAUCCCCAAAUUUGCCCCAAAAUGUCCCAAAAAUCCCCAAAAUUGAACCCAAAAUCCCCAAAAUUUCACCCAAAAAUGUCCCAAAAUCCCCAAAAUUGAACCCAAAAUGUCCCAAAAUUCCUGAAAUUGAACUCAAAAUGUCCCAAAAUCCCCAGAAUUUGCCCCAAAAUCCCCAAAAUUUCACCCAAAAAUGUCCCAAAUUCCCCCAAAUUUCACCCAAAAUCCCCAGAAUUUGCCCCAAAAUCCCUGAAAUUGAACCCAAAAUGUCCCAAAAUCCCCGAAAUUUGCCCCAAAAUCCCCAAAAUUUAACCCAAAAUGUCCCAAAAUCCCCGGAAUUUGCCCCAAAAUCUCCUCCCCGUCAGGCGCAGCCGCGGUGCCGGGAGGGCCCCGAACACCCGGGGACAAACAGCCGGGAACAGCCGGAGCUGGUGUGUCCAGGCCUCACCUGUCGGGAAUUCCGCUGCUCCAUCCCCCCCCUGAGCCCCCCCAGAACCUGGGGGUUCACCCUGGGGGGGAAACUGAGGCUGGAGUGGAUGGGACAGGUGAGAGUGGGGGAGGGGACAGGUGAGAGUGGGGGAGG